rnacentral:rRNA from 1 species
UACCAGCUCUCCGAGUGGUAGGGAUGAUUAUUGGGCUUAAAGCGUCCGUAGCCGGCUUAGCAAGUCUCCUGUUAAAUUCAGCGACCUAAUCGUUGAGCCGCGGGAGAUACUACUAGGCUAGGAGGCGGGAGAGGUCGACGGUACUUCUGGGGUAGGGGUGAAAUCCUAUAAUCCCGGGAGGACCACCAGUGGCGAAGGCUGUCGACUAGAACGCGCUCGACGGUGAGGGACGAAAGCUGGGGGAGCGAACCGGAUUAGAUACCCGGGUAGUCCCAGCUGUAAACGAUGCGAGCUAGGUGUUGGGGUGGCUACGUGCCACUUCAGUGCCGCAGGGAAGCCAUUAAGCUCGCCGCCUGGGGAGUACGGCCGCAAGGCUGAAACUUAAAGGAAUUGGCGGGGGAGCACCACAAGGCGUGAAGCUUGCGGUUC